GAUGAACGCUGACAGAAUGCUUAACACAUGCAAGUCGGCUCGGGUCUUCGGACUUGGGUGGCGCACGGGUGAGUAACGCGUAAAAGAACUUGCCUCUUAGACCGGGACAACAUCUGGAAACGGAUGCUAAUACCGGAUAUUAUGGUUUUUUCGCAUGGAGGAAUCAUGAAAGCUAGAUGCGCUAAGAGAGAGCUUUGCGUCCCAUUAGCUAGUUGGUGAGGUAACGGCCCACCAAGGCAAUGAUGGGUAGCCGGCCUGAGAGGGUGAACGGCCACAUUGGGACUGAGACACGGCCCAA
rnacentral:rRNA from 1 species